AACGAACGCUGGCGGCGCGCCUAAUACAUGCAAGUCGAGCGAGAAGGUGUAGCAAUACACUUGUAAAGCGGCGAACGGGUGAGGAAUACAUGGGUAAUCUACCAUCGAGUGGGGAAUAACCAACCGAAAGGUUGGCUAAUACCGCGUACGCCUCCGAGUCUUCGGGUUCGGAGGGAAAGCUGCACUGUGAGUGUAGCGCUCUUUGAUGAGCUCAUGUCCUAUCAGCUUGUUGGUAGGGUAACGGCCUACCAAGGCUUUGACGGGUAGCUGGUCUGAGAGGACGAUCAGCCACACUGGCACUGCGACACGGGCCAGACUCCUACGGGAGGCAGCAGUAAGGAAUAUUGCGCAAUGGGCGAAAGCCUGACGCAGCGACGCCGCGUGGGGGAUGAAGGUCUUCGGAUUGUAAACCCCUUUCGGAGGGAAGAUGGAGCGAGCAAUCGUUCGGACGGUACCUCCAGAAGCAGCCACGGCCAACUUCGUGCCAGC
rnacentral:rRNA from 1 species